AUGGAGGAGCUCCAAGGAACCUUUGGAGCUGCACAAGGAGGGGAGAGAGGAGGAGCUCCAAAGAGCGCCUGGAGGUGCUCGGGGAUGGAGGAGGAGGAGGGCGGUGAGGAGUUGGAGGAGCUCCAAGGCUCGGAGGCACUGCUGAGGUUUGGAAAUAAAAGAUUUCGCUAUAUGGGUGUGGCUGGUGGAGCUCCACAGGGAGGGAAGAGUGGAGGAGCUCCAAGGAGCAGAGGGAGUGCAGAGCUGGCCCCGAGCCACGGAGGAGCUACAAGGAGCGCCUGGAGGUGCUCGGAGAUGGAGGAGGAGGAGGGUGGUGAGGAGCUGGAGGAGCUCCAAACCUCGGAGGUGCUGGGGAGGUUUGGAAAUCAAGGAUUUCGCUCUAUGGGUGCGGCUGGUGGAGCUCCACAGGGAGGGGAGAGCGGAGGAGCUCCAAGGAGCAGAGGGAGUGCAGAGCUGGCCCCGAGCCACGGAGGAGCUCCAAGGAGCGCCUGGAGGUGCUCGGGGAUGGAGGAGGAGGGCGGUGAGGAGUUGGAGGAGCUCCAAGGCUCGGAGGCACUGCUGAGGUUUGGAAAUCAAGGAUUUCGCUCUAUGGGUGCGGCUGGUGGAGCUCCACGGGGAAGGAAGAGCGGAGGAGCUCCAAGGAGCGCCUGGAGGUGCUCAGAGAUGGAGGAGGAGGAGGACGGUGAGGAGUUGGAGGAGCUCCAAGGCUUGGAGGCACUGCUGAGGUUUGGAAAUCAAGGAUUUCACUGUAUGGGUGCGGCUGGUGGAGCUGCACAGGGAGCGCAGAGCCAGCCCUGAGCUGCGGAGGAGCUCCAAGGAGCCCGUGGAGCUCCACAGGGAGCGCAGAGCGGAGGAGCUCCAAGGAGCCUGUGGAGCUCCAGGGGGAGCAGAGAGCAGAGGAGCUCCAAGGAACACCCGGAGCUGCUCGGGGAUGCUGGAGGAGGGCGGUGAGGAGUUGGAGGUUUGUAAAUAAAGGAUUUUACUCCGAGGAUGCA
rnacentral:lncRNA from 1 species